rnacentral:rRNA from 1 species
UACGAAGGGGGCUAGCGUUGCUCGGAAUCACUGGGCGUAAAGCGCACGUAGGCGGACUCUUAAGUCGGUGGUGAAAUCCUGGAGCUCAACUCCAGAACUGCCCUUCGAUACUGAGAGUCUCGAGUCCGGGGAGAGGUGAGUGGAACUGCGAGUGUAGAGGUGAAAUUCGUAGAUAUUCGGAAGAACACCAGUGGCGAAGGCGACUUACUGGACACAUAUUGACGCUGAGGUGCGAAAGCGUGGGGAGCAAACGGG